ACUCAAAGGAAUUGACGGGGACCCGCACAAGCAGCGGAGCAUGUGGUUUAAUUCGAAGCAACGCGAAGAACCUUACCAGGGCUUGACAUCCCCCUGACAGCCCCUUAGCCGGGGCCUCCUUCGGGCAGGGGAGACAGGUGGUGCAUGGUUGUCGUCAGCUCGUGUCGUGAGAUGUUGGGUUAAGUCCCGCAACGAGCGCAACCCUUGUCAUUAGUUGCCAUCAUUAAGUUGGGCACUCUAGUGAGACUGCCGGGGAUAACUCGGAGGAAGGUGGGGACGACGUCAAAUCAUCAUGCCCCUUAUGUCCGGGGCUACACACGUGCUACAAUGGCCGUUACAGCGAGAAGCGAAGCCGCGAGGCGGAGCAAAUCUCCAAAAGCGGCCCCAGUUCGGAUCGCGGGCUGCAACUCGCCCGCGUGAAGCCGGAGUUGCUAGUAAUCGCGGAUCAGCACGCCGCGGUGAAUGCGUUCCCGGGUCUUGUACACACCGCCCGU
rnacentral:rRNA from 1 species